UGGGGAGUCGCCAAGCGGUAAGGCAACGGGUUUUGAUCCCGUCAUUCGUAGGUUCGAUCCCUACCUCCUCAGCCA
rnacentral:tRNA from 2 species